rnacentral:rRNA from 1 species
GACGAACGCUGGCGGCGUGCUUAACACAUGCAAGUCGAACGGUGAAGCGCCUUACUUUUUGUUGGGUGUGGAUGAGUGGCGAACGGGUGAGUAACACGUGAGUAACCUGCCGCCCUCUUCUGGAUAACCGCAUGAAAGAGUGGCUAAUACGGGAUAUUCUGGGUCUGUUGCAUCCUGGGUCUGGGACAGGUCUUGUUUCGGUGGGGGAUGGGCUCGCGGUUUCUAAGCUUGUUGGGGGGGUGAUGGCCUACCAAGGCGGUGACGGGUAGACGGCCUGGGAGGGUGGAAGGUCACAAGGGGACUGAGACACGGCCCAGACUACUAAGAGAGGCAGCAGAGGGGAAUAGUGGACAAUGGGGGGAAGCCUGAUGCAGCGACGCCGCGGGAGAGAUGGAGACCUUCGGGUGGUGAAGCUCUUUCGCGAGUGAAGCAGGCCUGCCUCGUGUGUGGGUGGGUUGACGGUAGCUGGAGAAGAAGCGCCGGCUAACUACGUG